UACGAAGGGGGCUAGCGUUGCUCGGAAUCACUGGGCGUAAAGCGCACGUAGGCGGAUUGUUAAGUCAGGGGUGAAAUCCUGGAGCUCAACUCCAGAACUGCCUUUGAUACUGGCGAUCUCGAGUCCGGGAGAGGUGAGUGGAACUGCGAGUGUAGAGGUGAAAUUCGUAGAUAUUCGCAAGAACACCAGUGGCGAAGGCGGCUCACUGGCCCGGUACUGACGCUGA
rnacentral:rRNA from 1 species